rnacentral:rRNA from 1 species
AAUAUUUUACAAUGGGCGAAAGCCUGAUCCAGCCAUGCCGCGCGUGUGAAGAAGGUCUUCGGAUUGUAAAGCACUUUAAGCUGGGAGGAAGGGCAGUAAGUUAAUACCUUGCUGUUUUGACGUUACCGACAGAAUAAGCACCGGCUAACUUCGUGCCAGCAGCCGCGGUAAUACGAAGGUUGCAAGCGUUAGUCGGAAUUACUGGGCGUAAAGCGCGCGUAGUUGGUUUGUUAAGUUGGAAGUGAAAGACCCGGGCUCAACCUGGGAACUGCUUUCAAAACUGGCAGGCUAGAGUAUGACAGAGGGUGGUGGAAUUUCCUGUGUAGCGGUGAAAUGCGUAGAUAUAGGAAGGAACACCAGUGGCGAAGGCGACCACCUGGGCUAAUACUGACACUGAGGUGCGAAAGCGUGGGGAGCAAACAGG